rnacentral:rRNA from 1 species
GAUGAACGCUGGCGGCGUGCCUAAUACAUGCAAGUCGAGCGAACGGACGAGAAACUUUCUUCUCUGAUGUUAGCGGCGGACGGGUGAGUAACACGUGGAGGACCUAACUAUAAGACUGGGAUAACUUCGGGAAACCGGCGCUAGGACCGGAGAAUUAUUUGAUCAGAAUGGUUCAGAAGUAGAAGAGGGCCUUGCUGGCGCUUGUAACUAGAUCCGCGCUGCAUUAUCUAGUUGGUGAGGUAACGGCUUACCAAGGCAACGAUGCAUAGCCGCCCUGAGAGGGUGAUCGGCCACACGGGAACUGAGACCCGUUCCCGACUCCUACGGGAGGCAGCAGUAGGGAAUCUUCCGCAAUGGGCGAAUGCCUGACGUAGCAACGCGGCGGGAGUGCUGAAGGUCUUCUGAUCGGAAAACUCUGUUAUUAGGGAAGAACAUAUGUGUAAGUAACUGUGAACAUCUUGACGGUACCUAAUCAGAAAGCCACGGCUAACUCCGUG